GUUGCAAGUGUUGCCGUGGUUCCUAUCUUUAUCCUCUGACUUUCCACCGUUUAUGCUACUUCGACGAAUCUUAUUUAACGUGCAGAGAACUCGGAUCUGAUCUGAACUGAACUUUAUACAAAUUAAGAUACAGAAAUCAAAUUGCUGACUAAGGAUGAGUUAGGAUGAUGUAAUGAUGAUGUAAUGGAGAAGGAAAGAUCUAGACUUGGGAAGAAAUCAGCAUGACAUAGAUGUGUGACAUGUGUACAAUGGUGAGGGAAUGUCCUGUGCUAGGUGAUGCCGUGAAUGACGUAAGUGGAUGUCAUGGUGAUGGAUUAUCGAUAAAGAAGCAGGAAUAUGGCCUAUUUCACAAUAUGAAAUCACUGCAAUGGAAAUUCCUAUGCAUAGUAGUUUCUGGACAUAGCCUGUCGAAUUUUUUAGUAAUUAAUGCUAAUUUGCUUAUCGCUUCUUUCCUGUUGCCAUUCUCUCAUUUUUCAAUUUUUGCUGGCAUUCUAUUUCUAGACUUUUGUUGAAUUUCAGCCUGUAUUUUGUCUUAUGUUGUUAUUAUUUUUCGGGAAAAUCUCAGUCUGAUGUUUCUUAUAAGGGUUGUUCUUUUAAAAAAAGGUGCUUUUAAUGAUCAAAGGAUUUGAGAGAAAACAUUUACAACGUUCACACUCUUUUUUAUAAGAACAUUUUUAUUAGAACACGAGCCUCAAAAUUGGUCAAAAGUGAAGAAAAAAUUAAGAGCAAGUUGAAGCUGAGCAACUGUGAAAUGCAAUUUUGAACAACGUUUUAUCUCAUGAACGAGGAUUUUAGCCAUGUUCGGGUGCUUUUUCGGUGAAUAUUCAAACUUGGCGGCAAAUUAAGGUUGUCGCGCCCACUCUGUUGACAAAUGAGGCCUGAACACCUCCCUAGAGCGAAAAAGCUAGCAAUCGCACUGCUUACACAAUAUUAAUUUAAAAACAAAUUAAGAACAAUAUAACCUUAGAUUUUUGAAUUAAUUAGGAACAGUCAGCCUGAACUUAAAUUUACUGGUUCUUAUAAAAAAGAGUGUAUUUUCGGUUGGCCAAUUAUAAGAGCAAAAAGAAGUAUCACCCUAUUGAAAAUUGAAUGAAAAAAUGCAACGAGGCAAUUUGGCCCAUACUGACUUAUACUGAGCUUUCUUUGUCAAGAAUAUUUAAGAAAAAAUUAUUCUUUUUGAUAGCUCGUUUUUAGGAACUUCUUUCUUGGUCUUUACAGAAUUCGUUAUAGUGGGAUUCUACUGUAGCUGUAAACUAAAAACUGACAUUCGCUGGACUACCCAAAAGCUUGCAGUGCACUGACUUUAUCAGGAUGUUGUGUUUCAUACAUUGUAGAGUGCAAAAUUGCAGGUAAGGAAAUCUCUUUGUUCUCGUCGGCCCCACGUGUUCAGGCUCAGAGAAAGAUGAGUCAUACAUUCAAACACAAUUAACAUAAUAUUCAGACGGGGCUUUGCAUAAUUAAUGAGGCGUAGCGAACUUGGAAAUAAGGGCAGUUUUAUAAGCAACAAUUAUCUAAAAAGAGAUUUGGAGGUGCACAUUUCAGUAAAAAAAAUUAAAAGCGGUGAUAAUUUGUAUGUUUUUAAAAUAUUUGACACCGAGAGGAUGAGAGAACUUAAAAAUCAUCAAGCGGGCAAGGUCGCCCACGCGCAACUCAUCCAGACUAAACACCCGUUCAACCAGCACGUGGUCGAGUUAGGAGAAAAUGCAUGUUGAUAUUUCAAAAAGCACGCUGUUUUGGCCGCUUUAAGGCCAACUAACAAACCAAAUUUUGCACAAAUAUUUCUACAGAAUAACUGCACCAAAACAUCUUAGACAAUUGAGAAAUGUAUGAAACAAAGACAACUUAAAAGCAAAACAUAAAGUGGAUAAAGACUAGAGGCUUUUGGAUAAAACUUUCUAGGCCAUGGACGGCGGCGUCAUCGACGAUCAAAGAAAUCUGCAUGCGAAAAUCCAUGAGAUAUCGAGCGCGCAGUAAUGUAAAAUGUAAAGCAAGUUCCCUCCAACAAGUCCGUAGUUCUACACUAUGAUUCUAUUCUUCAAUGCAUCUAGAGCAGAAUGUUUUGUUCCAAACCAGGCCUUAGGUGAACAAUUGCUAACAACAUUGGCAAAGCGAUGGUUCACCUAACAGGUACUCACAAAGAAUUGCAAACAUGUCACGAUUCUUUCUAUUAUAAGAACACAACCAAAAGAAUCGAUAUGCUUAUGCGGAAUUAUGCGGAGGAGAAUGUCUAGGGGGCGAAUUGAGUUUCUUUUACAGAAGUCGUUGAAAAGGGGGCAAAUAAAGUAACAUAUCAGAAAAGAAAAAAUGAAGUUAAUCACACCCCCCUUACCCUCUUUGACAAUCGGAAAUGGCAGAUUUCUUCCUCGUUCCGCAUUCAUGUCAACAUCAAUGAUUCGUACAACAUGACUGGACAAAUAUAUAAUUGCUACUUUUUGUUGAUUGUUGAGUUCAAGAGCAACAAAAACGCGUACGGAAGCUUCGCGCGGCGCGUUUAGUCAACCUCGUUCCGUUAAAUGCAAACCUUUUUCGGGGCUAGACCUAAAUACAGGAAAACUGUUUGCGGAUAAAGAUAACUUUUUUGGAACAGAUUGGGAGGGGAAGCGAGAGGUGCUGCUCAAUACUUGUCAAUUUUUCCAAUGUCUUACGAGGAAAAAGCCCCUUUUCCAGCCAUGGCAGCCAUGGCGUACUUUUGGUACAACUGCGUUAAACAGUUUUGUUCCUGCGUUGAAGCCAUUGUUUUGCUUCAGAUAUGUUUUGCUUGAGACAUUCUAAGAAGAGCAAGACAUUCACAUAAAUUUGAAGUUGUGAUUACUACAGAUGGACCAUUUCAAUAUUUUGGUGGAAAGGGAAAAGGGUUUUUUACCCUAGCUUUGAAAUACGCUGCUAUAACAGGUCAACAUCAGCAUAAUCACAAUCUAGUAUCUGAAUUUAGAUUACGACCUUACGGCCUCGUUUUGGAAACUAUGCCAAACUUGCAAACUUCACUGUACGAUACGACUCUCUUGAGCCAAAAUAAAGGAUUUCACGUCAUAAUUUUAGUCUAGAAACAAUCUUUUAUAUCGUUUGGGCAUCUGUUGGAGAUUCACGACGAUCUAAAGUUUGAAAAAGCUAGACUCAUGAAAAAUUGGAUAAAGACUUAGAUUCUGGCCCUCAGUCAGGACAUGAAUUGAAAAAUCUAAAAAUAGAGAAGUUUACAGUAAUUGUCAAAACGAGACCAGAGACGAAUAAAUUUCUAGACAAAACGUCCCAUUCGAAAACGAAAGGAUUUUCCCGUAACUUUCUACCAGAUGUGUCUUGGCCUGCCUCUAGCACGUAUAGUAGACAAUUAAAUUCACAACAGGAACAUGACGAUGCGGUUUUAUAUUUAGGAGGGAGUUUGUUUGCAAACUGAUAGUGAAAAUUUUGGAAGUACUUUUUCCAGAAUAUCAUUAAAAAAAGAGACACUAGGAAACAGAUAACGAAAAAAAGUUCCGGUGAGUAAAUACUUCAACUAACAUAAGUAAACACUUAGCAAAAUUUGUAUAAGAACUUAAGGAUAAGAGCCUUUGAAUUGCCUCGAUUGUCGAAAAUAUUCACUACGAAAAACAAAUGACACCUCGCAAUUAAAGGAUAAUGAAGAGUUGGGAAAAAUCACAAAUAAAAGAAUUCUCUCCAAUUUUUACUUUUUUGCCAACAAACAACAGAUUCUGCUAGCUUUGUGAUAACAGCAAUGGUAGUUUCAUGCAGUUGUAACGCUUGGGCCUAGGUUGAUGGGUCAAAGGCAAAUUUUGCUUGGCUUUACAGCCUCAAAACACAUGUUAGUAUCUAUUUAAGCGCAAGCAGGGUUGAAAUUAAGCAAAGCUAAAAAUCUGGAUUCAAGAGAAUGUACUUUUAUUAAGAUGUUUAAUUUUGUUUAAUAAUGAUGACAGUCUUGCAGAGGAUUAUUAGAUGAUUCUGUAGGGAUUCUUAGCGGAUAAUCAAUUGAUUUUGAAGCCAAGUUUCGUUUUAACAGGCUUGCUAAAAUCGAGAAAGUCCGUGGUGUCGACUUUUAAACGACAUGAAAUGACAUCGGCCUUAUUAAUUGUAUCACAUUAAACAGUAAAAGGGUGAUCGGCAACUAUUAAGAAGUUCAAACACAAGACAAGGCUCAUUGAGUUGUUGUAUCGCGAAAAUCGUUGAGAGCUAUAGGGGCUUAUCCGGCACUGGUCCAAUCAUGUUGUGAAAUGGGCAGCUCUCAUCUUUUUAUAUACUUAGGCAGUUUAAUACAGACAUGUUAACUGUACGUUGUUUUGAAAUCUGCAAACAAAAUGCAAGGUAUUUCCAAAAAAAUAUAUUAAACUAAACUACAGCUGUCAACUAUCAAUGUCACCCAAGGUGAAUUUGUUUACUGUAGAAAAGCUCACGGUUCCAUACUUUUUUAUAAACAUCAAAAGCAGAAAUCUAUGACUUUCGUGAAUGCGUUGACAGCAUUUGAGCACUUUCAUGCAUUAUUCUUAUUCAAAACCCAGUCAAAAUCACAAACGGCCAAACGAGGAACUUUUUGCUUUGAAAUUGAGACUACGUUUAGGCACUUUAUAUUAAUCGGGGCUAUAUAAUCGUAAUUAUAUAUUUAAAGAAAGAAGACAAUAAUACUUGAAUUUGCCUAUUUCUUCUCUUCGAACCCAGAUACGACAUUUUCAGAGAAAAAAAUGAAGUAAAGUGGUAGAGGCAAUCCUACAGCAUUAAAAUAAGUGGUUUUAUAAAGCCUUCCACCGAAAGUAUAAAUCAUAACCGUAUUUUCUUGUAUGGCACCAUGAAUACAAUACAGCAUGAAAUACUAAACAAGAUGGAGGAUCUUUCAGUAUGAUGAAACUGUUUGAAUCGUUUGCACCUUUUGGGAUGGCACAAACGAUCAUGAGCCAGAACAUUGCAUCAAGUCGUCACAGAAGCGAAGAAAAGGUGGUUUUUAGUCAUAAGAAACUCCAAGAAAGGACAAAUCCAAUGCAACAACUGUUAUAAACAAGACGUUGCAAGAUAUAUAAAAAUUCUAAAGGGCAAGGAAAAAAAUUUGUACCUGUCCAAACGACCCUUUUCCUAUUAGUGUAUCAAUUUCAUAUCUAUCGAGAAAUUUUUCGCCAUGUCGUAUAACAUAAUCAAAGUUCUCAUCAUCAUAUCCAUCGUUAUACAGUCUGCGUUCCUUUUUAGUCCGGCCCUCUUCUGUUCUUUCCUUUUCUGCUCUUCGUUUCUUUUGUGAGUAGUAGACCUAAGGAGAACAAAAACUCAAAUAAAAGUUUUCUCUUGUAAUACAAACAAACCAAUCCUCCAUGAAAUGGUGCAUGUUUCAAGAUAUGGAGCCAUACUUCCUGCAAACCAAAGAGACAGUGAUGACCAGGCAAGAACACUAGGGAGUUUUUUUAGUGUCCAACACAAGUAUCAAUUUGAGAGGGGGUUGGUUGGGCAAUAAUGUUUUAGUAAGUAACAGAAUGGAUGCCUCACAACAUAUUUUGUUAAUGGCAAAUAAAAUUUAUACUUACCAUAAAUCUCUAAAUGAGAACCCCCUCAAAUUAGUGCCCUGCUUGAAUAAGCAUCCCCCCUAAAAAUGUCAAAUUUAAUGACCAUUUCCAUUCCUUGUUUAUGAAUGUUAAUCCAGAUUCCUUGUUCAAAAUUGCUUGUACAUGGUUUGAUUUAACAUAGGCUAUCAGCAAAAAAUGACAUCUGUUUUUAACCAUAUUUAAGCUGAUCAGUUUAAUUCUAUUGAUUGCAUGAGCUGAGUUAUCUUAAUUUCAUCAGAAACCAUUUAUUGCAGAUGACUUGUGACAACACACCAAAAAUUGGAAGCUGUUGGUAUUUACCAGAAUGAGAGAAAAUGUGCCAGACAGCCUUGAGGUAAGUUUAAAACACUUCUUGUCAUGGCUGACUUGACUUGAGUUCAGAUCACAGCACAAAUGUUUUCUUUUAAAAAGGGGUAAUAAAAAUGUAACCUUAAAAGGACAAUACACAUCAUUCCUGUUGUCUAAUUAGCAAAAGGGGUUAUCCUUCUCACAAAGACCGGCCAUUCAAGAAUUACUUUUCAAUCAUUGAUAACUGAAUUCAAUGGCAUAUCUUGGGCUAAUAAUUUACAGGCACUAGAAGAUAUUUAAAAUACAGGCCCAUUUCAUUGAAAUUGUGUUAGCUGAGAAAUCCAGGGCCAAGAGAUAAAACUACAACAAGAUAAUGUCAAAAUUAAAAAAUCAAGAAAAUUGACAAGAUACAUGGAAAUAAAGAGGAUUUAGUCUGGAUGUUUAUUUUCACAAGAUGCCUAUUUUCACCGACAUUUAUUUGAAGCCUUGAGGAAACUGUUUUCCUUUGGAGUUUGAUAUAGAGAAAAAUCUUCCCAUGAAUAACCAAACUUAUAUGAAAAUAAUCGUUAAAAAAAAUUUAAAAAAAUUUCUUAUAUACAAUAAUAAACAUAGAGUGAGUUGAACAAUAAACAACUAGAUUCAUUUACCUCAUUGAUAUGCUUGUAAGUCUUGAUAAGAUCAACACUAAGUUUUCUGAGCGGUGCUGUUCCGGGCUCACGAAAAGAUGUAGGGAUUUUUCUAACAUAAUAAUCAUAAGCUGAUUCUGGAUUUGAGUCUGGCAUUGUUUGCUCAUUGGUUGCCAUUGCAAACAAUACCAAUAACUUUUAUUAUCUUUGAUUGUUUACAAUCCACAUCAUAAUUCUAGCAAUCCUUCUUCUGAUAAUACCCCUGAAAAAGAAAAAUUCAAGUUACUUGUAAUUUCUUGGAAUUAUAUAUUUGGAAUGGCAACAAAAUAAGUGAUCUUUAGUUUGCUCUUAUUGCAUUGAAAUUAAACUGACAUCAUAUUUCACCGAAAUAGAAAGUAUAUAUGUGAAUUGGGACAAAAGAUCAAUUCAAUUCCUCCAAUCAUUUCAGCUUUUAAAUGUGCUUUUAUCGAUACAGAUAUAAAGAUCAAUGGUUCUAACUGAUAACAAUCUUUUGGUUAAAAGAACAAAAGAAGAUGUACAGAUAUGAUUCUUUGAUGUAAAGUGAAGUAUGAGAGUAAAAAUGAAAUUGUUGUUUUUAAAGUUUCUAAUAAAUCAAAACAGCAUAGUAUUGAGAAUGUCAUUUAAUAAUACAUUUUAACUAUUGAAAAAAACUUGCAAAUGACAGUUGGUGAAAUAAAUGCAGCAACCUAAGCACCAAAACAGGAAAGUGCAUUAUUUCUCAUCAAGGCCUAAGGUAGGAGAAUUGAGGCUUGUGUGUAGAAAAUGAAAGCUGGACAGAGCAGGGCUGUAACUUUCAUUGUUCUUAUGGGCUCAUGCCCUUUAUUAAAAUGAAAAAACCCUUAGUUCCAUCGAACAAUCACUUGUAUUUCUAUUUAUCUUAAAUAAAGAUGUUCUGCCACUAAAUUUAUCCUUCCUACCAUAUAGCUACAGCUACGGCAUUAUUUUCUUUUAAGUGCACUUCUUUGAUUAGACAAGCCGUUGAGAAUCAAGAGCAGCAAGAUCCUAAAAUAGAUUUCACUAGCCAAAAUUUCAGUGAGAGAAAAAGAGACCAAUCUAGGUUGGCUAGUAAAAGCAUGACAAAAAAUACAUUGGAUUCAGAAGAGACUCUUUUCAAUACUGGCAUAGCACCAUGAUACCUUUAUCAAAAUAUUUUCAAAGAACAUGAUCAGUGUGAAAUUGAAAACAUAGCUGUAAUCUUUCGAAAAGUUAUAUAAAUCUGUUUUGUAUCAGAGAUGGUUGGGGCACUAGAGGUUAAAUUUUCUGACAAGAAUCAAAGUCUAACUCUUGAAAAAGGACAUUGACUGUGUUUAUUUCUACAAUUAUUUUAUAGCACAGUGAGAAAAGGUGAGCCCAAGCUAAAGCACAGAUUUAACUUAUUAAGCCAUGCUGUGAAUUCUGGCAUCUCCUGUGGUUGAAUCUAGACUUGUGAUUGCCAAAAUUCCAGACAGGAAAAAUUGUUUUUAACAGUUAAGUUUGCUUUAAAACUAAUGCCUAGAAUUAUGUACACUUAAUAAGUUGCUGCACUGAAAGAAGGAAAAUGGCUGAUAACAUUCAAAUGGUUUAUCAAAUCUGAAGAUUUUGUGUGGCAAUAAGCAACAUUUUGUGGCAUACAUGAAACAAAUAUUAUUCUGUCUGAACAGAAAUUCUUCAUUUUAGAUGAUCAAUUCAAUGACUUUGAAGAUAAAUAAUAUUGAGCUUGCUGUUGGUUUGCGAUCAGCAAAUCUGAUCAUGUGUUUGGAUCUAUAACAUCAAAGCUGAAGUAGCCAGCCACAUCACCACUACAGGAAAUAUUCUGGGCAACAAGAUUUGUACUCAAGAUUCAAAGAUUCCCUAAAAACCUUGAACAAUUUAAGCCAGUGGGUAUAAUUGAAAAGCUCUAAUGAUAAAUAAUAUAAACAAUCGCUGUGGAAAUAUUCUCUGCUAUCAUAACUAGCUAACAAAAGCAUACUGAUAUUCUUAAUCCACGGCCAAACGUACUUGAAAAAAAUAUAAAAGGGUUUCAAGGGAUUUUGUUAAAAAAACAGCUGCCCUCUUUCUGUCAAAAAUUGUAAGAUUAGGUUUCUUCAUCGUAGCCUAACAAACUAAAACAAUACGAUAGAAUCUUUUAGUAUUUUUUGACAUCGACUUUCUAAAUCAAUAUAUUUGAAUUUAGAUCACGGAGUGGAAGUCGAUGGUAUACUUUUUGAGUGAAACGGGAAGAAAUUUGUUGAUCGCAAAUAUUAAAAAUACCGGCAUACAAGAGUGCACAAAAGACAUUUUUACAGUCACUUCUUCGAUCUGAAAUUUGACCCCAUACAUGACUUUCUCACUUGGCGCAUGGCUAGCUAUUUCCGUAUUUUUCAAAUGGGUUAAAUUGUGCCAUUUUGUUUAUUAGCAGACUUCAUCUCCCAUCGGAUAUUUUCAAAAUGGCGCCUAUAUACGACCUUCGUCUCGUAGUACAAAAGAAAAAAUCAAGAUUUCUCACAAUAAGUGUUAAGAUACAUCUUAUGAGAUACUUAUGAGCACAGCCAUUUUAAACGAUUCAAAACAAAAAGUUACUUAAACUGAUUUGAAGAUUUUAUACAACUGGCCGCCAUAAAUAUUCAUUUUGGAUUUCGUUACUGCCCUUCAAGCAGAACCAAAGCGCGGCAAAAACUGUUCAGGUGGGAAGUACUUCGCGGCCUGCGACGUGUGAAAAUUUAGACAUCACAUUUUUGUGUUUACUUUCCUGAAUGAACUCAGGAUCCACUUGAUCUACAUCCACGAUAACAGAUGGCGAGGAAGCCCAAUUUGAUCAAGCAUCACCGCAAAAUAUUGGGAGAGGAAGCUAUACUAAUUUUCUGAUCGUAAAUCCGAGUGUACAUGAAGCAUGGCUCCUUUUGGCCUAAUGCCAGAUCGCGUUUAAUAGCGCCUUUCUAGACGACCUUGACUAGUAACUUACCAAAUCAACCACUUCCCCCAGCUCUGUUAUCCAUCUGCAAGGCACAAAAGGUGGAGGUUUCCUCACUGUUGACUCAGACUUUUAUAUUCACAAGUUCUUUCCUUCUCCAUGGACAAAUUGCGACAACAAAUGUAGUUCCUAUUCGCUCCAGAUCCUCUUUAUUUCUUUAAGCAAAAGAUCCUUUGAACUUUGAGUGAAUUCCAGCUAGAUUGUCAUCGGUAACGCUACCUUUUGGCCUCCAGUAAUUUGUCAACUAUCAGAUCAAAAUAAAGUCAGAAAAAUCCCUUCAAAAUCUUUUUCCUCGAAUAACAAAUUUCAAAAAUAUAAAAAAGUUGCGCGCCAGAAUGCCGAUGACGCGCGCGUUGUUACCAUAGAUCUGUCAAUCAAACUUGAGCUCCGACAGGAGAAUUUGCAUGUUGAUCCAACAAUAGACAAAGCGUUCGGAAUAUGGCGGGACUUUCAAUGUUGUAAACAAAGUGCAACGUGACCUGCCGUUGAAGCACUGGUUACGUAGAAUUUAUAGAACUUACAACAGCAUGAAAAGCUCAACGAAUCUUAUCGUACGCUGGAUAAAACUAUGAACAAAUCUAUGGAAACUGGGGCAAAUAAUGCUGGAAAAGUCAUCUGGCGAGAAGAAACAUGAGUGGGUUGGUAUUGACUUCCCUGGGAAUUAUUGCGCAUGGUACCACAAAAUUUAUAAAAGGUUCGCAAAAGGAUCGUAAAUGUCGUGUUAAGUUUUUAUUUCAUUGUAAGUAAAUGAUCGGUUGCAGAUUUUGAAUUUUGGGGCAAAGAUAGGUAGUGGCGGCUCUAGGGGGCAACUAGGGACAGUUGCUCCUCCCUCGCGAAGUUGAAGCAAGUCUGGCGCCCCUUUUUUGAAAAUUGUGCGCCCUUUUUGAAGUAUGAGAAUCAGGUGAAAUAGUUCCUGAGGCCUAUAAGUUCAUUUACUUCAAGGAUUACUUCAAAGUUAACUUGUUUAUUCCGAAAAUGGAUCAUGUUUCGCUAGAAAUGUCACGCUUUGAAAGACAAUAAACAGACCAGUCAACUAUCCCGAUUACGCCGGAUGAUCCAAGGUUUUGGUUGCUUUCUCCUGGCCUACCGAUUUUUUUACAUUCUUAUAACAAAAAUGGUUGCAGUGGCGUUCUUCAUGACAACAUUUUUGUAAGUGUUUACGAAUUAAUAAAAAAAACUCUAAAAACAAUUAUGAAGAAGAAACUUUUUUGUCAUUAACUGUUUUCCCACAUGACUUUUACAGGUAUGUUGUUUAAAAAUUUAACAUAAUAAUAUUUCUAUCACUUCAUCUUGAUCAACAAAUUCUUGGGAUCUCCCUGUUUUUGGCCAAAGCUCCCUGCUGUAUUACGAAAAAAAUCUAAAUUCUCCAGGUUAUGAAAAUUUUGGGUUGACAUGUCUGCAACAAAGUCUAUCCAUAAAGUUGCAUUCCUUUAUUUCUGCUUUCAUUCAAAGAAACAAUGUUCAAUUUCUUGCCUUUCAAAGUUACCCUACGCUUCUCCGCAAGGUUUUUCAUUUCCGUGCUCGAAAUUUUGUGGCUCUGGCACCCAGGAUAAAGAUACCCAAUCUUAAUGUCAUAAUCAAACCCAAAAGAACUAUGGAGUAUAAUUAAGAUAGAAUAUUUGUCUGUUGUGCCUAGGAUCCUUUGUUUUCAGUCGAUAUUGUAAAUCGACCGUUUCAGACCCAUUUUCCAGCCAUCACUAGAAAAUCAUAGUUGCAAAACUUUUUCUGCCGCUCACCAUAGUGGGCCGCCUUCAUCAAACCGCCUUGAUCUUCACCAAAAAUUUUACCCCAAGGGCAUCGUCUUUCCAUUUUGCCCCAGAGACUCUGAAAUCUCGGCGGCUUUCCAGCCAUAUUUGCCCUUCAAUUCUUAUAAAAUUCUAUAGAUUAGAGGACAUUUUAUAAGCUGAAAUUAUUGUUAUGAGAAGCUCAAAAGAAGCUGUAGUUCAUUGUUGCACCCUAAAAUUUGCUUUUCGCAAAAAGAUGCUCACGAAUUCACCCAAAAACGCGAACUCCAGGAAUAUUAGUUUCCGCAAACUUAAUUUCCUUAUGCUUUUAUGCCAUCAUUUGCUCUUACUAGUUAUCAUUAAGUGUGUAUAUGCUCAUCUAUUUCAUUGUUAAUAAAUUUUCUAUGGAGAAAUAGUCGGUCAAACAAGAAAAGUUGGUCACUUUUUUUCUGAACGCCCCCCCCCCCCAAACAAAAUUGUCUAGGCACAUCACUGUACUCACUUAAUGUAUAGUACAAGGCUGUUAGCAAUUUUUUUCUACCGAGGGAGAGGCUGUGUAAUUUUCGCUGAAAUUUCAGUAUGUUUAUUUCAUUCGAAAUCUAGAGAUGCAAAUUCUGUCCUGCAAAGGGUGAAGGACUUCAAAGGACACUCUUUGCAGGGAAGCAUGGGGAGCCAUAUCUUUGGAAGGAACUAAACCAGCCAUGUUGGAUUGGCUUGGAUUGUUAUUAAGCAUUGGCUGUAAUAGAAAAAACUGAACAAUAAAACUCGAAAUAAAAUAAAAUGGCUUCUAGAUUGAAUUACGUCAGAGUCGUAAGGGAGUACGCACACACCCAAAUUGUCGAAGGAAUAUUGUGUACAUUUUCACAAUAUUCAUUGUAUUUUUUGGAAGGUAAGAUUGAAGGGAGAAAAAUCCUGUGCUCAAGACUACAAGGCUAAGGGGCAGGGACGCCAAAACGACCAAGGGGCAAGGGGGACAGGCUUGAGUAAAAGGGCAUUUGAGAGAUAACUCCCAGCUUCUAGUAAUUCCUUCUCCUAACUGCCAUUUUAUUUUGAUCUUCUGCAGGUAUCUUGAAAAUUACCUUGAGUACCAGACUCACUUUUUAUCAAAUAAGAGAGAGUCUGUUUCAGUACGCCCCUCUCCUCAUUCUGGUGUGCCGAUAUUAACCAAUCAGGAGCAAGUGUAUAGAUUUCUGUACGUUCGAAGGUCACAUCCAAACAAUAAACGUAGCUUUGGUGUAAAACGUUGAACAGAACACAACAUAAAUUAAUGCUGACGACAGUAACGAUUUAGUUUGAUAUGGGGUGAUAUCUAUGCAGGGGCUGAUUUAAACAACAAUGUGUUAGACACUAAUUUUGGUGCCACACCCUUCAGGUCACUGGUAAAUGAUGGAAAUGCCCAUAUUUAAAAUUUGAUCUUUAACUGUGAUUGGUAGGCCAAAGAGGAAGAUAUUUUUGCUGAUCACUCCACUAAGAGUUUGGAAAAACACCCAUUUUGUAAAUGUGUUUGAAAAAGCCAUGGCGUUUUUAAGUGGCAAUUUCCUUUUAUUCAACGUCAUAGGUGGCUGACCAUACUCUACAACUUGUCUAUUUCCUUCACAAUUCCACUAACGUUUAUAUCCUGAAUUGUGUAAGGCGAGGAAUCUCUACGUGUAAAAAGUGAUUUUCCAAAGUUUUAAUCAAAUAUCUAAAUAAAUUAACAGUAUUCAAAAGUUUUAAACCAAGUCCGUUUUCCUUGGAGCAAAGCAUUUUAGAAUCCAGUUUUUACAAGGAUUGGACUGCUUUAGCAUUUUAUUUUUUAUUUUAUCAGGAAUGUCUAAAGAGCGUAAAAGACUUUUCCAUACAAAUCCCAAAACGAGGGGAUAUUACUAAACACAGAGGCUCUCCUGCGGGGGAAGCGAGCAGAAAAUCUUUGCGACGACGCCCUUGAGAUUAGCUUGAAAUACAUUUGGGAAUAUCUCCCCCCCCCCACCCCCGCUACGCUACUGAUAAGAAGAUAAAUACUGAUAAAUUACUGAUUAAAUCCGUCCCUGAAUUUAGCUGAUGUGGUGCCUCAUCUCGUGAUUUUCUGGAUCCCCUUUUAAAAUCUUACCCACUCAGUAGCGACGCCAUGUAAUAGGAAUAUUCUCCUUUUCAGUAUUAGCCUCUUUAUCGUGUUUAUCACGCACUCAACUUUAGGAUAUAUAUUGUUGCACGUAGUCAAUUUGUGGACUUUUGAUUUUGAUGAUGAGGCAGAAAACAUAAACGAAGUUCUUUUCUCUUCUUCACACUUCUUCGAUAAAGAUCCUGCUA